rnacentral:snRNA from 1 species
GCCCACCCUGGAAACGGCUCA